rnacentral:rRNA from 1 species
UUGAAAAGCACUUUGAAAAGAGGGUGAAAAGAACCUGAAACCGUCAUGGGGGAAGCGGAUUGCGUUGAGUUGAGUGAAUCUUUGUGUGUUCAGCCCUUUUGGGUGCAUUGACAUGAGAUUCGAAUCGUCGUGGGUUUCCGAGGGUGGAACUUGCAUUCUCGGGGACUGAGGGCUCCCUUCUUGUAAGGUCUGAGGACGACGAUGUAGCGACGCGAUACGACCCGUCUUGAAACACGGACCAAGGAGUCUAGCGUGAUUGCGAGUCUAAGGGUGUUGAAACCUGACGGCGCAGUGAAAGCGAAUCAUUUAAAAUGAGCAAUUUGAGGCGGCAUAGAAUCGUUGAUUCUAAGUCCGACCUAGAGCCAUUACGCUGGGACCCGAAAGAUGGUGAACUAUGCCGGAGUAGGGCGAAGCCAGAGGAAACUCUGGUGGAGGCUCGUAGCGGUGCUGACGUGCAAAUCGCUCGUCUAACUUGGGUAUAGGGGCGAAAGACUAAUCGAACCAUCUAGUAGCUGGUUCCCUCCGAAGUUUCUCUCAGGAUAGCGGGCCGACAAUAGAGUUGUUCUGUGU